rnacentral:tRNA from 1 species
AUCCAGUUGGCUCAGUUGGUAGAGCAUGCAACUCUUGAUUUCAGGGUGAGUUCAAGCCCCACAUUGGGCA